rnacentral:rRNA from 1 species
CCUACGGGAGGCAGCAGUGGGGAAUUUUGGACAAUGGGGGCAACCCUGAUCCAGCCAUCCCGCGUGUGCGAUGAAGGCCUUCGGGUUGUAAAGCACUUUUGGCAGGGAAGAAAAGGCGCGGGCUAAUACCUUGCGCCGCUGACGGUACCUGCAGAAUAAGCACCGGCUAACUACGUGCCAGCAGCCGCGGUAAU